GGGUGCGGUGGGCGUGGCGGUUGAGCAGGCCGGAAGGGAUCAAAGCUGAUGGAGACGGAGUCUGUCUCACCCACUCGCCCCGCCUGCACACUUUCACUCCCUCGCGGAGUUACGCGAGUUCAGUUGACAAACCCUCCUUCCAGAAAGUCUCCCAAGAGAACGCACUAAUCAGAUCCCACGAGAAGUUGUUCCAGCACCUUUCUUCCCUGAAAUGCCAUCAUCCUGGGUCUAAUGUACUGAUUAUGCAAUAAGAAAAUGUCUUCAUUAAUUUCGUGGCUGUCGCUGACCUAGGCACCAAGGAAUCUGUCCAAAGAUCUCAGGCUGUGGGGGAUGAGAUGGGUCCAGGGUCGCUCCCAGCUGUUUCUUCUCCAAACGCAAGGGGAGCCUGGAGACAACAGUUCUUCCCCCUGUAUGUCCCCCUCCUCUGUGAGAGGGAGAUGGCAGCAGAGGACAACAUUGACUGCAACAGGGGGAGCCCCUCAGGUUCCCUGUGCUAUACAGCAGGACCUUAUUGUUGAUCCUAAACUCAGGAUCUGAAGAUGGGGAGAGUAUCCUGGAUUAGCCAGAUGGGCCCUCAAGGCCAUCACAUGCAUCCUCAUAAAGGAGAGGCAAAGGGAGAUAUACUACAUGCAGACGACAAAGAGGUGAUGUGACCAGAGAGGCAGAGACUGCAGUGAUGUGGCCACAAGUGAGGGAGUGUCCACAGCCACCAGAGAGGCCAGGAACAAAACCUCCCCUACAGCCCUUGGAGGCUGCAGAGCUGGGCCAAUGAAACUGAUUUUGGACUUCUGGCCUCCACAACAGUGAGACAAUAAAGGUAUGU
ensembl:lncRNA